rnacentral:rRNA from 1 species
UGGCUCAGAAUAAACGCUGGCGGCGUGCCUAACACAUGCAAGUCGAGCGAGAAAGUUCCUUCGGGAGCAAGUAAAGCGGCGGACGGGUGAGUAACGCGUGAGAAUUUACCCUUUAGUGAGGAAUACCUCUGAGAAAUCAGGGCUAAUACUGCAUAAGUCCCUACGGGGAGAAAGGUGGCCUAUUUGCUGCCGCUAAAGGAUAAGCUUGCGGGCUAUUAGCUAGUUGGUGAGGUAAAGGCUCACCAAGGCGAUGAUGGCUAGCCGGCCUGAGAGGGUGUACGGCCACACUGGAACUUAGACACGGUCCAGACUCCUACGGGAGGCAGCAGUGAGGAAUAUUGCGCAAUGGGCGAAAGCCUGACGCAGCGACGCCGCGUGGAGGAUGAAGGUCUUCGGAUUGUAAACUUCUGUUAAGUGGGAAGGAAGAUUUAUCCCUAAUAUGGAUAAAGGAUGACGGUACCAUUAGAGAAAGCACCGGCUAACUUCGUG